UACAGAGGGCUCAAGCGUUGUUCGGAUUUAUUGGGCGUAAAGGGCGCGUAGGCGGUGCGGUAAGUCGGGUGUGAAAUCUCGGAGCUUAACUCCGAAACUGCAUUCGAUACUGCCGUGCUUGAGGACUGGAGAGGAGACUGGAAUUUACGGUGUAGCGGUGAAAUGCGUAGAUAUUGUAAGGAAGACCAGUUGCGAAGGCGGGUCUCUGGGCAGUUCCUGACGCUGAGGCACGAAGGUCAGGGGAGCAAACGGG
rnacentral:rRNA from 1 species